rnacentral:tRNA from 1 species
CCCUGGUUACCUCAGUUGGUAGAGCGCUCCACUGGAAAUGGAGAGGUCCCGGGUUCGAUACCCGGACCAGGCG